rnacentral:rRNA from 1 species
GCAGGGGGAAACCUGAUUUGCCUGCCGGUGUGUGAAGAGGCCUCAUGGUGUAAAGCACUUAAGCGAGAGGAGGCUACUGAUACUAUACUCUGGAUAGUGACGUUACUCGCAGAAUAAGCGCCGGCUAACUCUGUGCCAGCAGCCGCGGUAAUACAGAGGGUGCGAGCGUAAUCGGAUUUACUGGGCGUAAAGCGUGCGUAGGCGGCUUUUUAAGUCGGAUGUGAAAUCCCCGAGCUUAACUUGGGAAUUGCAUUCGAUACUGGGAAGCUAGAGUAUGGGAGA